rnacentral:rRNA from 1 species
CGUCGAGCGGCGGACGGGUGAGUAAUACUUAGGAAUCUACCUAGUAGUGGGGGAUAGCUCGGGGAAACUCGAAUUAAUACCGCAUACGACCUACGGGAGAAAGGGGGCAACUUGUUGCUCUCGCUAUUAGAUGAGCCUAAGUCGGAUUAGCUAGAUGGUGGGGUAAAGGCCUACCAUGGCGACGAUCUGUAGCUGGUCUGAGAGGAUGAUCAGCCACACCGGGACUGAGACACGGCCCGGACUCCUACGGGAGGCAGCAGUGGGGAAUAUUGGACAAUGGGGGCAACCCUGAUCCAGCCAUGCCGCGUGUGUGAAGAAGGCCUUUUGGUUGUAAAGCACUUUAAGCAGUGAAGAAGACUCCAUGGUUAAUACCCAUGGACGAUGACAUUAGCUGCAGAAUAAGCACCGGCUAACUCUGUGCCAGCAGCCGCGGUAAUACAGAGGGUGCAAGCGUUAAUCGGAAUUACUGGGCGUAAAGCGAGCGUAGGUGGCUUGAUAAGUCAGAUGUGAAAUCCCCGGGCUUAACCUGGGAACUGCAUCUGAUACUGUUAGGCUAGAAUAGGUGAGAGGAAGGUAGAAUUCCAGGUGUAGCGGUGAAAUGCGUAGAGAUCUGGAGGAAUACCGAUGGCGAAGGCAGCCUUCUGGCAUCAUAUUGACACUGAGGUUCGAAAGCGUGGGUAGCAAACAGGAUUAGAUACCCUGGUAGUCCACGCCGUAAACGAUGUCUACUAGUCGUUGGGUCCCUUGAGGACUUAGUGACGCAGCUAACGCAAUAAGUAGACCGCCUGGGGAGUACGGCCGCAAGGUUAAAACUCAAAUGAAUUGACGGGGGCCCGCACAAGCGGUGGAGCAUGUGGUUUAAUUCGAUGCAACGCGAAGAACCUUACCUGGUCUUGACAUAUCUAGAAUCCUGCAGAGAUGCGGGGAGUGCCUUCGGGAAUUAGAAUACAGGUGCUGCAUGGCUGUCGUCAGCUCGUGUC